rnacentral:miRNA from 1 species
AAGAGCCCCCAGUUUGAGUAU